UUGUUCAUAACUUUAGAUAUGGAUUAACACAUGGUAUGCUCUUAACUUUAGAUAUGGAUUAACACAUGGUAUGCUCUUGGACGAGCGUGUGUCAGCUCUUAUCGUAUUGUAUUGUGGGCGAUUCGUUUAAAAUAAUAUCAAAUUGGACGGCUAUACUGAGGUGAUACGGCUCGUCCGAAGGAUGGGCCCAUCCAGCCGCUCGCUGCUCUAUGUCCCGCACUGGCUGGAGCAGUGGAGGUGAAGGCGAGCUGCAGGUACACGAUGGCCUCCUCGUCCGGCGAGACGGCCUCCUGAAUCAUGGACCAUCACCAGCUAGCAACGCGAUGGAUACCGGCCCCACUGUCAGGUCCC
rnacentral:lncRNA from 1 species